rnacentral:lncRNA from 1 species
GAGCAGCAUGAAGGCCUGUUCUUUAACUGGGGUGUUGACAUUUGAUAGACACUGCUGGCAGACAGCCAGAAAGGAUUUCACAGUUUUUCUCAAUACCAGCAAGUCCUCUUUGGAAGGGGAACCUUCAGUGAUUUUCACCAGCUGCCAGAGAAUAGAGUAGUGCGAACACUGCAGUGCCUGAACAACUAUCUGUUCUGGCAUAGCUCCAUGUUCAAUUCCAGUUCUUAGUAAUCUGUAGCAGUUACUGAACAGAUCCCAUUUUGUGAGAUCAUGAGCAUUGUGAAAAGAGGUUAAUCUCUUCAAUGUGGAUAGCACAUUGUAUAUGUCAUCAUCAUCGGCUUCUUCUCCCUCCUGCAGCAGAUCCUC